rnacentral:rRNA from 1 species
UACGUAGGUGGCAAGCGUUAUCCGGAUUUAUUGGGUGUAAAGGGCGUGUAGGCGGGAAUGCAAGUCAGAUGUGAAAACUAUGGGCUCAACCCAUAGCCUGCAUUUGAAACUGUAUUUCUUGAGUGCUGGAGAGGAGAAUGGAAUUCCUAGUGUAGCGGUGAAAUGCGUAGAGAUUAGGAAGAACACCAGUGGCGAAGGCGAUUCUCUGGACUGUAACUGACGCUGAGGCUCGAAAGCGUGGGGAGCAAACAGG